rnacentral:rRNA from 1 species
CCUACGGGAGGCAGCAGUAGGGAAUCUUCCGCAAUGGGCGAAAGCCUGACGGAGCGACGCCGCGUGAGCGAAGAAGGCCUUCGGGUCGUAAAGCUCUGUUGUGAGGGACGAAGGAGCGCCGUUCGAAGAGGGCGGCGCGGUGACGGUACCUCACGAGAAAGCCCCGGCUAACUACGUGCCAGCAGCCGCGGUAAUACGUAGGGGGCGAGCGUUGUCCGGAAUUAUUGGGCGUAAAGCGCGCGCAGGCGGUCUCUUAAGUCUGAUGUGAAAGCCCACGGCUCAACCGUGGAGGGUCAUUGGAAACUGGGGGACUUGAGGGCAGGAGAGGAGAGCGGAAUUCCACGUGUAGCGGUGAAAUGCGUAGAGAUGUGGAGGAACACCAGUGGCGAAGGCGGCUCUCUGGCCUGUACCUGACGCUGAGGCGCGAAAGCGUGGGGAGCAAACAGGAUUAGAUACCCGUGUAGUC